rnacentral:misc_RNA from 1 species
GAUGAAGAACGUAGCGAAAUGCGAUAAGUAAUGUGAAUUGCAGAAUUCAGUGAAUCAUCGAAUCUUUGAACGCACAUUGCGCCCAUGAGUAUUCUAGUGGGCAUGCCUGUUCGAGCGUCAUUUCAACCCUUAAGCCUAGCUUAGUGUUGGGAGCCUACUGCUUUUACUAGCUGUAGCUCCUGAAAUACAACGGCGGAUCUGCGAUAUCCUCUGAGCGUAGUAAUUUUUAUCUCGCUUUUGACUGGAGUUGCAGCGUCUUUAGCCGCUAAAUCCCCCAAUUUUUAAUGGUUGACCUCGGAUCAGGUAGGAAUACCCGCUGAACUUAAGCAUAUCAAUAAGCGGAGGA